rnacentral:rRNA from 1 species
CACCGGUAUGCUUAGUACGGCGAGUGAGCGGCAAAAGCUCAAAUUUGAAAUCUGGUACCUUCGGUGCCCGAGUUGUAAUUUGGAGAGGGCAACUUUGGGGCCGUUCCUUGUCUAUGUUCCUUGGAACAGGACGUCAUAGAGGGUGAGAAUCCCGUGUGGCGAGGAGUGCGGUUCUUUGUAAAGUGCCUUCGAAGAGUCGAGUUGUUUGGGAAUGCAGCUCUAAGUGGGUGGUAAAUUCCAUCUAAAGCUAAAUAUUGGCGAGAGACCGAUAGCGAACAAGUACAGUGAUGGAAAGAUGAAAAGAACUUUGAAAAGAGAGUGAAAAAGUACGUGAAAUUGUUGAAAGGGAAGGGCAUUUGAUCAGACAUGGUGUUUUGUGCCCUCUGCUCCUUGUGGGUAGGGGAAUCUCGCAUUUCACUGGGCCAGCAUCAGUUUUGGUGGCAGGAUAAAUCCAUAGGAAUGUAGCUUGCCUCGGUAAGUAUUAUAGCCUGUGGGAAUACUGCCAGCUGGGACUGAGGACUGCGACGUAAGUCAAGGAUGCUGGCAUAAUGGUUAUAUGCCGCCCGUCUUGAACA